UUAUACCACCUGGGUGCUUAUGGGAUUACUUUUGUACCACCCGUUAGGUCAACUGCUUGAGCUGUCAACGAGUUGAGCUGUCAACAAACCUAUGUUAUUUAAUGGCGAGGAUGACUGUGCUUGUUUAUUUCAGGUAAAGCCAAAAAAAACCAUCGCACAAUGUAUGCUGCUGGCCAUCUGAAUUACCAAGUCACCUUCCAGCUUCGAUGCAGAACAAACAAAAUACACAGCUAAAUAAAGUGAA